ensembl:lncRNA
GCCCCUGUCUUCAUGGAAGAUGUGCUUUGGCAAUGGGGAAUACUGAAAUCUCCUCAAGCGUGGGGCACAGUGCUGAGAAUCUCCUAUAGGGCUCUUAACAUCUUUUGCAGGUCACGGACCCCAGUUAGAAACUGCUGUUCUGAGGCCCCUCAGCCGCCUGGAGACAAAGCUGGAAGCAGAGGCAGUGUGUGUUUUCCUGCUGCCGGUGGACAGGCGCGCAGGAUGCAUUUCCCUCAUCGAACCAGGGAGCGGAGACCCCCGAGCAAGAGAGGGAAGUCCUCGGACCAUCAGCGAGGCAGGUUGCAGAACGUCCUGGGCCGGACCGCAGCUGGGGGCUUUGAGAGUCCUGGGCAAGGAAGCGACGACCCUGAACCGUCUGAAGCGCCAGGCACGGGGCUCCUGGAGCAGUGUCUCUCUCAAGGACUUGCUGGAUCCUUGACAGCCUCUCCUGAUAUUCUUGCCUUAUCAGAUGUGGACAUCUCCGACACAGGAUGCACUGCAGUGGCAUGCGUGCAUGCUCAGUCGUGUCCGACUCUGCAAUCCCCUGGACGAUAGCCCAUGAGGCUCCACUGUCCAUAGAAUUUUCCAGGCAAGAAUACUGGAGUGGGUUGCCAUUUCCUACUCCAGGGGAUCUUCCUGACCCAGGGACCGAACUCACAUCUCUUGUGUCUGCAUUACCACUGAGCCACCUGGAAAACCCUAUUUCUACAUAUACCCCAGUAUUGAGCAUUAUUACUAUGAAUAGCACAUCGAUUCCUUAGCACCAAGUGGGGCGUGUUCAUUCUGAGUCCCCUAUAUCAUUAAUAUUCCAUUUAUUAGAGGCAUGACCUCUUGCCUAUCUCUGUUAUGAAAAUGUUUAUGAAGCAUGGAGUCUCUUUCCUUUAACCACCAAAGCCAGAACACUCCAAAAGUUGAAGAAAGAAGAGAGAGCUAGGUGACUCAGAUCAUGACAAGAGAUUGGGAGAGUCUGGUGGUAGAUCAAACUGAUUUGGGACUGAGAGAAGGUCCCGAGGGAUGGGGAGAGUGGCCGGGCUCUAGGCUCCCCAGUACAGUAGCCACUAGCUACAUGUGGCUAUUUGAUUGAAAUUAAUACAAUGAAAUAAAACUUAAAAAUGCAGUUCCUCA